AAUAGAUACCCUGGUAGUCCACGCAGUAAACGAUGCAGACUAGGCGUGGGGGGACUUGACCCCCUCCGUGCCGAAGCCAACGCGUGAAGUCUGCCGCCUGGGGAGUACGGCCGCAAGGCUAAAACGUCAAAGGAAUUGACGGGGGGCCCGCACAAGCGGCGGAGCGUGCGGUUUAAUUCGACGCAACGCGCAGAACCUUACCAGGGCUUGACAUGCUCCUGCAGAGCCGUGAAAGCGGUUGGCCUUCGAGGGUGGAGCACAGGUGCUGCAUGGCUGUCGUCAGCUCGUGUCGUGAGAUGUUGGGUUAAGUCCCGCAACGAGCGCAACCCCCGUGGCUAGUUGCCGAUGGUUUCUAGCCAGACUGCCGGUAGCAAGCCGGAGGAGGGUGGGGAUGAUGUCAAGUCAGCAUGGCCCUUACGUCCUGGGCUACACGCACGCUACAAUGGCCGGGACAAUGGGCUGCCAAACCGCAAGGUGGAGCGAAUCCCACAAACCCGGGUCUCAGUUCAGAUCGCGGGCUGCAACUCCG
rnacentral:rRNA from 1 species